rnacentral:rRNA from 1 species
UGGGGAAUAUUGCACAAUGGGCGAAAGCCUGAUGCAGCAACGCCGCGUGAGCGAUGAAGGCCUUCGGGUCGUAAAGCUCUGUCCCAAGGGAAGAUAAUGACGGUACCUUGGGAGGAAGCCCCGGCUAACUACGUGCCAGCAGCCGCGGUAAUACGUAGGGGGCAAGCGUUAUCCGGAAUCACUGGGCGUAAAGGGUGCGUAGGCGGUCUUGCAAGCCAGAGGUGAAAGGCUAUGGCUCAACCAUAGUGAGCCUUUGGAACUGCCGGACUUGAGUACAGGAGAGGAAAGUGGAAUUCCUAGUGUAGCGGUGAAAUGCGUAGAUAUUAGGAGGAACACCAGUGGCGAAGGCGACUUUCUGGACUGUUACUGACGCUGAGGCACGAAAGCGUGGGGAGCGAACAG